CUGUCACCGUCUGCCUCGGCCGUAAGAGCCGGUCCUUUAAUUCACUCACUCCUAUCUAUCGCGCUGUUUCGCGGUGGUUUGUGUGUUCGUGUCGCCUGCCGGGUCGAAACGCUGGUGCUACUCCCGAGAGGGGUACCGGCAGUCGGCGCCUCGGCAGCGGACGCGGUGGGGCCGGCGGCGGCGGCGUCGGCAGGGGGCCUCUAGGUACGAGGAGAGGUGGCGACGGCGUCCGCGUCGGGACGUCAGGCUGGGGUAGUCCGACUACUCGUGCGGGUUCGAGUUCGAGGCGCGGAGGCGGCCGCGGCGCGUCCGGCGCCGGUGGAGGAAGAGGUCGUUACUGCUCCGGAAGUGGACCCGGUUCUUCCUGUUGGCCUCCGAGGAGGUGCAGCAGAUGGCGCAGCCGCUGUAGUUGUUUUGGUAGUUCAAGAUAUGUCUCACGGAGCCGUACUUCGACGACUCCUUCGCACUGUAUGGGCUUCUCUUCAUGUGGUUACGGAAGGAGCCUAUGCCGGGGCUCCUCUGGUUGAAACGGUAGCUCGAGUGGAUGUUGAUGCCCCAACUGAGCAUGCUACAGCCUCGCCCCAAGCCAGUAAAGCCGUAGCGUUGACUACUACACCGGUUUUGUCAACUUGAGUAUUCCCGUUUCCCUCCGUUCCACUGAUCCCUCGGACCGGGACAGUUCCCACCGUUCUGGCACUAACGCAAAUAGCUUCUGGGACUGCCUAUGUUCAAGCUCUAGGAUCUCUCCGGUCCCUGAGGUCUCGGUGAUACGGUUCACUACGAAGCACAGCCACUAGAGCUGGCUCGGUAUUCGAAGAUGCUCUUCCGAACACCAUACUUUGAUGAGGCCUUCGCUCUGUUGGGACUUAUGUUCAUAUGCCACCGGUACUACCCCAUGCCUGGACUUCUGGUCUUACGGCAAGACCUCAACUGGAUGUUGAUACCACAGUGACUUAUACUGUUCCCCUUACGUAUACGUGUCUAGCGCUAUCCGUGGCUGCUACAGAUGUUCUGGCGGCUCCACCACUUCGAUAGGCCUCCCUUUCACCACGCCCUCCGUCCAGGGAACGGCCCCGAGCCGUGGUUCUAGUGUCGGUAGGACCUGGGACUACCCACCUUUAGCCACAAACAACUGUUGUAACUGAAACGGUUUCUUGACCUCAUUGGUACAUGUCGAAAAAAAAACGCCCAUUGGUACAUGUUGAAACUGAAACCUUUCUUGGCAUUUGUAGUUGAGAAAUGGGAAAAUGGUAAAAACAUUUGUACUCGCGUAUCCGAAACCCUCUUAAAAAAUAGAGACUUAUUGCUGUGUGCCUCCUCUCCUGUUGCUCUCGGUUGAGGUUAACAUACCUACGGUAAAGGGUACCUCUUCAAGUUUAAAAUACCCCUUUAAACUCGUUCAAACUUUACAUCGAGUCUUCUUACACAAGCCGGUCUGGCAUUUUUUGUUAUACUAGGUCCUAGUAUUUGCUAUACGGGCGGAGGUAUCACAUAUCGUUCAGGAUUUUACCAUGAAUACACUAAAAAUUAUGGUUGGUAAUUCCUCGCUUACAUCCAUAAUCACCAUGUACAUGAGGG
rnacentral:rRNA from 1 species